GUCCACGCCGUAAACGAUGAGUGCUUGAUGUUGGGGGGCCUAGCCCUUCAGUGUCGUAGCUAACGUGAUAAGCACUCCGCCUGGGGAGUACGGCCGCAAGGUUAAAACUCAAAGGAAUUGACGGGGGCCCCGCACAAGCGGUGGAGCAUGUGGUUAAAUUCGACGCAACGCGAAGAACCUUACCAGCUCUUGACAUGGGACGUAUGGGGCCGAGAGAUCGGCUCCUUCAGUUCGGCUGGCGUCCACACAGGUGCUGCAUGGCUGUCGU
rnacentral:rRNA from 1 species